UAGCCCAAAAGGAGAGAUCAAGUGAAACCAAUUUCGACAGGUGGGAGACUUGGGAUGGGACUUCUCCUGCAAACAAUGUAUUGGAAAGGUUGAGGUAGAAUAGGCUUGUAAACCGACCGAACUCGGAUGGAAUUUUGGAAAGAUUAAAAUCAUUGUAGGCAAGGUUGAGUUUUUGAAGGUGAGGAAGAAGGAAGAGAGUGGUAUUGGAAGGGAAGUUGCCAUAUAGCCAACUGCAGCUCAAGUCAAGGGCAAUAACAUGAGCAUUUAGGUGGUCACAAGUGACCCCAUCCCAUGAGCAGCAAUCUGU